UCGACCUUUUCAAGUGCGCAUGUACGUUAACACUUAUGUAGAAUAAUAUCUCUCUAUAUGUUGAGUGCGUUUCUCUCACCUCCUCGGGAAUUAAGUUUAUAAGGGUAGAGAACAUUGCCAGGAUACGAAUUAUGGAUAUUUCCUUCUCGUACUUUAGGUGGCGUGCCCUUCCUCAGUGGUUUGCGGCAGAAAUCGACACUGUAUGACGAUGGACCAACUUUAUGCGGACCUGGAAAAACUUCCUUGCGUCUAAAAGGGUUGCUCAGUCGAGGGUUGAAGAGAGAUCGAGAUCGUCGGAAGUUUUUCGAUUUGACCGGCUCCAUCUAAUAAAAUUUCACACAAUUUUGGUCAUGAAGUGUAUUCAAAGUGGAUGUCCGGAUCCUGGACCAGUUUACCGAGAGAGUUUUCGGUGUAUCUUCCUAUCUUGGCCCAUUUUCUCGUUUCCAAAACUCG